UCUAGCAUCGCUCAAUGGCGUCCCAUACCCCAAAGGCUACAGAAAAAAGCCUUUGAUAGUUGAAGGCCGUGUUUUGAGUUGUGUAUUAAAGCUAUGAAUAUGGAGAACACUGUGUACGAACAGGUCCAUCAACGUCCUUCUCGUGACGCAUAAUUUAUGGAUGGCUGGGUCCCUAGGAAGAUUAAAGAGAAUUUUGAGGACUCCAGCUGGAUCGAUGCACCAACAGAAGAUGUCUGGAAUUAAUGGGAACAGUUCAACAUCUGGAAUGGGUGACAUCAUCCAUCUGAAUGUCGGAGGAACGAGAUUUAGCAUGUCAAGACAGACUCUGACCUGGAUUCCUGACUCUUUCUUCUCAAGUUUACUAAGUGGAAGGAUAUCAACACUACGGGAUGAAACUGGAGCUAUAUUCAUUGACAGAGACCCAACAGCAUUUGCACCCAUUUUAAACUUUCUUUGAACUAAAGAAUUAGACUUGAGGUAAGAUACAUCAUAUGCUGAAUUGUUAUUCAUCACAUAUCCCUGAAAUAAAUAGUUUGACUUGUGUCAUAUUCCUACUUUCUCUGACGGGGGUUAACAUUAGUAUCCUGCGCCAUGAGGCUGAGUUCUAUGGUAUUACACCCUUAGGUAUGGUACAACUGGAGUGAAUAUAUUUAUAAAAAACAGUUGACAGUAAAACCAUAUGUGAGUGAAUUAGGAGCAGCAGAUAAUUUAAGCAUGUGUAAUUUUUACCUUCCGUUUCUGUUUGUCAUCGAUAUGGUUAGUCGACGCUUGCUGCUUUGUGAAGAACUGGAGCGAUCAUCAUGUGGAAGUGUGUUGUUUCAUGGCUACCUCCCUCCACCAGCUCUCCCAGCGCGGAGCAGUGUAGCUGGUGGCAGCCUGCAGCUGUUGCUGGUCCCAGCGACGCAGAAGGGGGUUACCCAUGUUCCUGCCCUCAGUCUUCUCUCCCUGGACCCUCUGGGGCAGAUGGACCUCAAAGACUAGGGAUGGUCCACCCUAAAAUGGAAGCAUAAAGAAAAUUUGAAAGAAGAAUUUACUCACCCUCAAGUCAUCUAAAACCCACAGGACUUUCUUUUGUGGAUCAGGAAAGGAAAAGUUUAACAGGAUGUUUUGCUGCUCUCUUCCAUACGAUGAAAGUGGAUUUAAUACUUUAUAUUCAGAGCUGAGUAAUAGAAUUAAAUGCGUUACUAUUGAUAAUAUUUUCUUGAUAAUCCUUCUUGACAUUUGCUUUCAUUGUAUAGUAAAGAUCAGUUUGGCUACUUAUGUGUUUAAUGAAAGAAAAAAAAAAUGAUAGUGGUCGAAAGACUUCAUAUUUUGGGUGGAUUAUUGUUUAAAUGGUUUGCUAUUCUCUUGUAAAUGAAGUUGCUUUUUAAAAAAGUAGAUUAGCAUGCUGAUGCUGGGGGCCACUAACAGUAUCUUCAAAACACUGCGAUGCACUUUAUUGUCUGUUCUUAUGUUCAUCCGUUACAUUGAAUGAACUGAACAGAUGAACUUCAUUGAUCAGGUUCGACUAGACUGUCGUGAAGGCGGCAGGAAUCAGCAGCCUUUCACAAACUCUUUCUAAAUCCUUUCAGACGGGCUGCGCUCUCUGAACUUUCAGCAUGCAUCUGCAGGGGAGAUUUACUUGCUCUAUCCGUUUUUGGGAUUUAUUCAGUGCCUUUUGCUAAUUUGGAUAGAUACUGCUGUGAGAAAUCGAAACAGAUUUAACUUCUUUUUUAUCUGUCUUUCUGAUUCAAGUGAAGCGGAUUCUGCUUUACUGAAAAAUAAAUUCAAUGAAAACUAUAUAUUUUACAGACAGUUGCCAGAUUUAAAGGUAAUAUAGGAUUAAAAUUUGAAAAAAAAUAUGAAUGGAUAUAUCAUGGAUUAUAUUAUAUCCUGGAUUAUAUCCUGCCAGAGAAAAUGUAAAUGGAAUCCUUUAACAAAGUACUUCUAUAUAAUGGAAAUGAGAUCUCAUUAAUGCUAUGCAAUCAGUGUUAGCGCUGACAUGGCCUGAAACUGAAUAAUGAAAAACAAAAACUGCAUGGAGCUAGAAAAAUUCAUUCUGAUAAAUAUAAUAAUACAAAUAAUAACCCCUUGGAAGAUCUUCAUGUUUCAGUUAUGUUGCAUAAAAUACUUCCAAUUGACUUUUUAAAAUGUCCUUUGCUAUGACUGGUUCGCUCCCAGUUAUAGUGAUCUUGGAAUCAAAAUACGCAUAUUAAUGAAAUGCAUAUUAAUUAAUCAGCUACUUCUGUCAUUUAUUUGCUCUCUGAGAUGUUUCAGUGUUGGGUAAUAUUUAGUAUUAUUCGUUAUGCUUGCUUUCAGAAAUACUGUCACAACCUGAUGUGUGUUUUCAGUCUGGUUGGUUACUGGAUGAUUUCCUCUCCAGACAAGAGACCAUACCAUUUCAAUAUACGUAAUAGUUGUGUUUUAUCUAACAAAGACGUUCUGCUGCACAGAUCAUGAUUCAGCUACAAGAGAAAAGUUUGUUACAUGAAACAUGGGAGGGAAAAAAAGAAUAUUGUACAUGCAGUAAAUAUUGGUACUCAGCUUCUGGACAUUUCCAGUGGCACAAUAAAACAGAGCAGUGUCUCAGACUAUUUCAUUUUUUAUUUAUUUUUUAUUAUUAAGCAUGGAAACAUCAGCAUUACAAACACAACUUUUACAUUUCACAACUCUCUAUAGCAACAAUUGUCCAUAACCACACAAACCUCUGAUUAAUCUUAGAGUGAGCUCUGUUUAAUGGAGAAAAAAUAUAUCAUUAAAAAUAAAUUAUUGCAACAAUAAAUAAUACUGACAAUUGAAGUUCACAUAAAACUUAGUUUUUUAGGAUAGUGCUGUUUAAUUUUUUUCCCAUUUUUUCUAUGUGAAAUAAAAAUGCAUGUAUAAUUACAUAUAUAUUCACACUUAACAGGUUUAAAACAACCUCAGAUAAAAAAACAAAACACAUCCACAUGUAACAAUGAUGCAAAUAUUUGGAGUUGAACAUUCAAGACACUUGAUCCAUUGGCAUCAUCACAAAUGUGUUCACACUAUUGCUCAGUCUAGCAGGCACAGCACAACAUUAGCUAACAUUUCCAUUAAUACAGACAGUCUAGGAGAUGUCUAAUGGAUUGAAUAUCUUCCUCAUUCAUGUGUCUGUAGAGACAGAAGAGAUAGACUUCCUCUCUAUGUUGGCAUGAAUAAUUUGGAGACUCAGUUCAUUAAUACUUUAUGAUUGUGCUAAUAUUUCAUAGCUACACAGUCCACAGCCCAGUCAUAAGACUCCAUUUAAAGCUAGAAUAAUACAGUGCUAUUUUCAGAACAGUUUGCUUCCUCUCUGCAUCAGUGCUAACACAUAUUACAGCAAAAGAUAAUCUAUGUCCGAUAAUAACAUGGACACAUAUGAAAUGUGACUAAACUAAACACUAUUUUAAAAAAGUCAAGAGAAGUAUAUGCUGCUUAUCCUGUACCGUAAGCCUUCACGUCCUCUAAAGAACUGAUUAGGUAUAUGCAGCAUUAUUAUUAUUAUUUUUUUUUUUUCAGGUGGCACCAGUGGAAUAUCUGCUGAUAAAUGACCAUUACAUCUCUAGCUAGUAAUAAAAAACAAAACAAAUCCAGCAUUGUGAAAUACAGCUAAUUUCUCAAUACAUUCCACUGCAAUGUUUUGUCAUGGUCAAACAAACCAAACGAAGGUGAUCU